rnacentral:misc_RNA from 1 species
AUAUUCUGCUUGUGGACAAGAUGGAGGUGUACAACUCCCAAGAAAAUAUGUUGAAGAGGGUGUUGCACAUGCGGAUUUGGUUCUUCUUGUGACUACAAGGCCAACAACCGGCAACACUCUUGCAUGGGCUGUAGCAUGUGAGCGUGAUCAAUGGGGUCGUGCUGUUGCUGGGCAUGUGAAUGUAGCUCCUCGGCAUUUAACUGCUGAAGCGGAAACCUUACUUCAAGCUACUUUGAUACAUGAAGUAAUGCACGUUCUUGGAUUUGAUCCUCAUGCCUUUGCUCAUUUUCGUGAUGAGAGAAAACGUAGGCGAAGUCAGGUUACUGAACUGGUAAUGGAUGAAAAACUUGGAAGAAUGGUUACUCGAGUAGUGCUUCCUCGAGUUAUCAUGCAUGCUCGCCAUCACUAUGGGGCAUUCUCUGAGAAUUUCACUGGACUUGAGCUGGAAGAUGGAGGCGGACGUGGUACAUCAGGUUCUCAUUGGGAGAAAAGGCUAUUGAUGAACGAGAUCAUGACUGGGUCAGUAGAUACAAGAUCAGUGGUUUCAAAAAUGACUCUUGCUUUACUUGAGGACAGUGGAUGGUACCGGGCUAAUUACAGCAUGGCUGACCGUCUUGAUUGGGGACGCAACCAAGGACCAGAUUUCGUUACCUUCCCCUGCAAUCACUGGAAGGGAGCCUAUCAUUGUAACACUACCCAGUUAUCUGGAUGUACAUUUAACAGGGAGGCUGAAGGUUAUUGUCCAAUAAUGAAUUAUAGUGGGGAUCUCCCUCAAUGGGCUCGUUAUUUUCCACAGGCUAACAAAGGUGGUCAGUCAUCAUUGGCAGAUUAUUGCACUUAUUUUGUUGCUUACUCUGAUGGAUCUUGUACGGACACGAAUGGUGCUCGAGCACCUGAUAGGAUGUUAGGUGAAGUGAGGGGAAGUAGUUCAAGGUGCAUGUCUUCUUCUCUAGUGCGUUCUGGAUUUGUACGUGGCUCAAUGGCCCAAGGCAAUGGUUGUUAUCAGCAUAGGUGCUCAAACAAUUCGUUAGAGGUAGCAGUAGAUGGCAUUUGGAGAGUUUGUCCAAAAGCUGGUGGUCCUAUCCAGUUUCCUGGCUUUAAUGGUGAGCUCGUCUGCCCAGCUUACCACGAACUAUGCGAUGUGAAUCCAGCUUUGUUGUCUAGUCAAUGUCCCAAUUCAUGCAAUUUCAACGGAGAUUGCUUAGGUGGAAAAUGUAGAUGCUUUAUUGGGUUUGGUGGUCAUGAUUGUAGCAAACGCUCAUGUCCUGGCAGUUGUGGUGGACAUGGAAAGUGUCUUGGGAAUGGUGUAUGUGAAUGUGAUAACGGGUAUACUGGCGUUGAUUGUUCCACAGCUGUUUGCGAUGAGCAGUGCAGUCUUCACGGUGGGGUCUGUGACAAUGGAGUCUGUGAGUUCCGUUGUUCUGACUAUGCUGGUUACACGUGCCAGAAUAGCUCCACGCUUCUUCCUAGUCUCUCUGUUUGCAAAGAUGUGCUUCAAAAUGAUGUAUCAGGACAACACUGUGCACCUAGCGAGUUAAGUAUCUUGCAGCAGCUGGAAGAAGUAGUGGUGAUGCCCAACUACAACCGACUAUUCCCAGCUGGUCCUCGAAAGAUUUUGAACAUUUUCAGGGGUAGAGAUUGUGAUGGAGCUGCUAAACGACUAGCCUGCUGGAUCUCAAUCCAAAAAUGUGACAAGGAUGGGGACAACCGUCUACGAGUAUGUCAUUCAGCUUGCCAAUCGUAUAACGUGGCAUGUGGAGCAUCACUUGAUUGCUCGGACCAAACACUAUUUAGUAAUGAACACGAGGGUCAAGGUCUUUGCACAGGUUGGGGCGAAUUGGACGCUUGGUUUUAGAAGAGCCAAACUAUAGAAAAUGAAUUUGGUGUACAUUGUAGGUAGUUUUAGGUCUUCUUUUUUCGUUUUCAUUGGCCUACUUGUAAUGUGUUGUAAGCUUUUUUUUCUCUCUUUGGGGUAGGAGGAAAAUGUGUGCGCGAAGCGCUCAUAAAUUUAGCGUUUUUUUUUCUCUCAUCCCAAAUGUUCAUUUGCUAAAAGAUUUGGGAUGGGAAAUUAACUUGAGAUUUUGGCUUUCAAAGAUGAAAGUCUUGAUGUAGAGGAAAUGUAAUCAAAGAAAAAAAAAGGAUAAGAGUAAAAUGAAUUGGCCUA